UACGCAGGUGGCAAGCGUUGUCCGGAUUUACUGGGCGUAAAGAGCGCGCAGGCGGUUGGAUAAGUCGAAUGUGAAAGCCCCCGGCUCAACUGGGGAGGGUCAUUCGAUACUGUCCGACUCGAAGGCAGGAGAGGGAAGCGGAAUUCCCGGUGUAGUGGUGAAAUGCGUAGAUAUCGGGAGGAACACCAGUGGCGAAGGCGGCUUUCUGGCCUGUUCUUGACGCUGAGGCGCGAAAGCCAGGGGAGCAAACGGG
rnacentral:rRNA from 1 species